rnacentral:rRNA from 1 species
UAGGGAAUAUUGGACAAUGGGCGCAAGCCUGAUCCAGCCAUGCCGCGUGAGUGAUGAAGGCCUUCGGGUUGUAAAGCUCUUUUCUGAGGGAAGAACAAUCGAAAUAGGAAAUGAUUUCGAUCUGACGGUACCUCAGGAAUAAGGGACGGCUAACUCCGUGCCAGCAGCCGCGGUAAUACGGAGGUCCCAAGCGUUGUUCGGAAUUACUGGGCGUAAAGGGAGCGCAGGCGGACAGGUCAGUCUAAAGUGGAAAUCCGAGGCUCAACCUCGGACUUGCUUCGGAUACUUCCUGUCUUGAGUUCGUGAGAGGAAGAUGGAAUUCAGGGUGUAGCGGUGAAAUGCUCAGAUAUCCUGAGGAACACCGGUGGCGAAAGCGGUCUUCUGGCGCGAAACUGACGCUGAGGCUCGAAAGCGUGGGGAGCAAACGGG